UACGUAGGGUGCGAGCGUUAAUCGGAAUUACUGGGCGUAAAGCGUGCGCAGGCGGUUCGUCGUGUCCGAUGUGAAAGCCCCGGGCUCAACCUGGGAAUGGCAUUGGAAACUGGCGAGCUUGAGUGUGGCAGAGGGGGGUGGAAUUCCGCGUGUAGCAGUGAAAUGCGUAGAGAUGCGGAGGAACACCGAUGGCGAAGGCAGCCCCCUGGGCUGACACUGACGCUCAGGCACGAAAAGCGUGGGGAGCAAACAGG
rnacentral:rRNA from 1 species